rnacentral:rRNA from 1 species
UACGUAGGGAGCAAGCGUUGUUCGGAUUUACUGGGCGUAAAGGGCGCGUAGGCGGCAUAUUAAGUCAUCUGUGAAAUCUCCGAGCUUAACUCGGAACUGUCAGCUGAUACUGAUGUGCUAGAGUGCGGAAGGGGCAAUCGGAAUUCUUGGUGUAGCGGUGAAAUGCGUAGAUAUCAAGAGGAACACCUGAGGUGAAGACGGGUUGCUGGGCCGACACUGACGCUGAUAGCGCGAAAGCCAGGGGAGCAAACGGG